CAUAAGCAAAAUAAGGGCGUAUGGGGAAUGCCUAGGCUCUCAGAGGCGAAGAAGGACGUGAUAAGCUGCGAAAAGCUACGGGGAUUGGCACACACGAGUUGAUCCGUAGAUAUCCGAAUGGGGCAACCCAGUAUGUUGAAGACAUACUAUCCUGUAUAGGAGGCGAACCCGCUGAACUGAAACAUCUAAGUAGGCGGAGGAGAAGAAAACAAAAGUGAUUCCGUAAGUAGUGGCG
rnacentral:rRNA from 1 species